UACGUAGGUGGCAAGCGUUGUCCGGAAUUAUUGGGCGUAAAGCGCGCGCAGGUGGUUUCUUAAGUCUGAUGUGAAAGCCCACGGCUCAACCGUGGAGGGUCAUUGGAAACUGGGGAACUUGAGUGCAGAAGAGGAAAGUGGAAUUCCACGUGUAGCGGUGAAAUGCGUAGAGAUGUGGAGGAACACCAGUGGCGAAGGCGACUCUUUGGCCUGUAACUGACGCUGAGGCGCGAAAGCGUGGGGAGCAAACAGG
rnacentral:rRNA from 1 species